rnacentral:snRNA from 1 species
GUCCCUUCGGGGACAUCCGAUAAAUUUGGAACGAUACAGAGAAGAUUAGCAUGGCCUCUGCGCAAGGAUGAUACGCACAAAUCGAGAAGUGGUUCAAAUUGUU